CUGCAGCUUUUUCCAUAUCCUUGGAUGAUUCAAAUUCAACCAAGAUGUAGAAAAUUCCCAAGUUUCUUCCAUUUGAUGAUCCAACUACAUUUCCAUGGCAACCCAUUCAUUGUAGAGUCCAUAAGUUCACUGCACUUCAGCAAAAUUGUCAUAUUAGAGUUUCUUGUUCUUGCCACCAACACUUACCACCAUAUAGUUUCAUGAUUUAGUUGAACUUCUUCCAUGAUGCAGAAAGGUUAAGAUUCAAUUCUCUAUAGCCAACUUCUUCAUGACAUUCUAUGUCACCAGAUAAACAGGCCCAUAGGUUUUAACAACUUGAGGGCUGCCAUUGUUGUCAAGACACACAUAGGGUAUUGCAUUGUCUGAUCUCUUUGUGGGGUUGAAAAGACUGGCGAUAGGCCCAGAUGUCGGACGCCGGUGCCUACCAUCCGUAACCUUGCCGGUGCCAUACACUGGACCAGAAACAUUUGUCCGCCUUGUAUUAGAAACA
rnacentral:lncRNA from 1 species